rnacentral:lncRNA from 10 species
GUUAAUUUCGCGACUUUGGAGCCCGGAUAAAUUACCUAAUGUCUCGUCUCCUGCAGUUCCAAGCUGACACGGCAGAUGGUGUAGUUGAAUCGCCCAGGGAGCCUCAGCACAGCGGCCUCAGUCACCUCUCCACAAGGCAGCUGCCCCAAGCUGCAUUCAUUGGGACAAACCUACCUUCCUUCUAGAAUGUGAGUCAGAUGCGGCAGUGGUACUGCAGGCGGCAGCAAUGGCAGUGUCACAACACAGACUGAGAUUUGGCUUCAACACCGAACCGCUUGGGGGCUCUCAUGGAUGCAAAGUGUGUCGUUUCCUUGUGGAAGGACAGUGAAGGCAGGUGUUUGCUGCUCUCCUGCAGGCUCUUGGGCAUGCUUCAGAGGGUUUCCUCCUCCAAGAAGCUGCGUUAGCACUGGACCAACGACAAACAAGUGAAGGGCUUGGGUCAGGAUACCUGUGUUACAGCUGCAGAAUGUCAAGCACAGGGGCAGUGACUACAGCUUGCCAGGGCAGAGCCCACAGAGCAUUAUCCUAAAUAUCAUGGCCACAAAUCCAAAUUAAGUGUUGGUGACUCAGGUACCAUGCGCUGCAUUGAAUGACUCAGUAAAAUUCCAACCAAAUGAUAAUGCAAACAUGAAAUCAGCAAGCAAGCAUAAUUUCUGGAAAUGAUAGAGUCCCACCGAGACUUGGCAAACAGGCCGUCCAUUUUCCCCUUGUUGCACAGUGUCACAAUGCCUCUUCUACAGAUGUGGCCCCCUGAGCUGUGAACUCCUUGAAGACAAGGACUAGAACAGUGCCUGGCACAGUCCAUGUUGUAUACAGGAGGAAGAGGAUGUGGCUGAGUGUGGCACUGGGGCACGUGAAUGCCCACAUGCAGAGGGGAUGCUUGACAAUUAAACCACCCAUAAAGCAAGGCAUUAUAAAUGGCUGUGAGUGUGGCCAGCAUUGACUUUGGGCAACAGAGCUCUGGAUUUGCUAAGCCUCACGGGUGAGUGAAUGGUGGGAGUUGGAGGCAAGCAGGUUACCAGAGAUUCCUCAGUGCUCUGGGGGAGGUGUUUUCAAGCCAGCAAAACCAGCCUUGGUGAGACCUGACCUCUGAAUAGGACAAUAUAAAAACCCACAAAGAGACUUUAGCCUAGUUCUCUUUUUAAAUAAAGUCAGGUGGGCAGGGGCAGGGGGAUUCCCAUUAGAAAGUUUUAUGGUAUUUUGUAGUAGAUUAUGAAUUAUACUUUGAAACUACACAAAACAGUUCAAACACAGUGCUUCCUGCAGCUAGAAUCACAGGCUGUCAGCCACGGCUCUGCUCACCUCCCCAGCUAAGCCACCUACCUUCUUGUGGGGGACACAGAUCGCCCCCUGUGGUCUUGUUGCCCUGCCUCACCCCUUGAGAACCUUCUUUCUUUUCUUUCCUUCUUUCUUUCUUUUAUGUACAUUUAGUUCCCACAGGCUUCCUUUAUCAAUAUUUCAAUUGGUUGCUGCUGACCUAUACUUGAAUCCAAAUAUUUGCCCUAUUCAGUAGGAAUUGUUCAUUCAGCCAAAUGCCUGAUUAUGUCUGUGCUCUUUUGAGCAAAUUGAAUGGGCUACUUGACUAUGUAAUGCCGAUAUAGCCUGGUCAUUAGUAAUGUUUGUUAGAAUUGACCAGAUGCAACAAGGAAGGAAAGGGAGAGAAGAAGGAGGUUUGUGUUCAGUUUUCCUUCCAGAGCAACCGUGGUGAAGAAAACGAAAUUAUGCGCUUUCCAGGGCACAGCUCUAAACUGCCUUCCUGUUCUUCCAAAUGGUCCCGUAGUCUAAUAUGAAUCAAAUGGGUCAGGGUUCAAAAGAGAUGGAUGCUCCUGAAGCUCGCAAGUUUAUGUAUUCAUUGGGAAACUUCCCCCUGUAAAAUGAAUAUGGUUUUUAAAAAUGAUGACUGGCCUUCUUAUUUUUAUUGUUUAAAUCAAGACACAAGAAAUAAA